UACGGGGGGAGCAAGCGUUGUUCGGAUUUACUGGGCGUAAAGGGCGCGUAGGCGGUCAGCACAAGUCAGUUGUGAAAUCUCCGGGCUUAACUCGGAAAGGUCAACUGAUACUGUGCGACUAGAGUGCGGAAGGGGCAACUGGAAUUCUCGGUGUAGCGGUGAAAUGCGUAGAUAUCGAGAGGAACACCAGUGGCGAAGGCGAGUCCCUGGACAACACCUGACACUGAGGCACGAAAGCCGGGGGAGCAAACAGG
rnacentral:rRNA from 1 species